rnacentral:lncRNA from 1 species
UUCGGGGCACCUGCGUUUCCAGUUACACCGGCAGGGGUGAGGUCCACUCCUACUCCUGUACAUAUGCAUAGUUUUGGUGCGUACGCUGGUGAGAGUAGCCCGUGGGCAGUACGAGAUCAGUCGGAACCCGAGGGGCCGUCCCAGCCUGAGCAGAGACAGCAGCCACCCAGAGAUGCAAAGGGGAAGGGCAGGAGAUGUCACACGGGCAGCCAUAUCUUCGGGCAUAAGAAGAAGUAGUUUAUGUCUUUUGAGUUUAUGUAUUUUCAGUUUGUAGUUGCGUUGUUUGCUUAUGUAUGUUUAUUUGGUACUUGUUGCUUAUGUAUGAACACUUGGUAGUUGUUGCUGCUUUUCAGUUUAGGUGUCAUUAUGUAUGUAAACAUUAUUGCAUAACAUCAGUUUUUUUCCGACAAACAAUGACAAAGCC